GAUAUUGUGAAAAAAGAGUCAAGCUUCACCCAGACAAUGUCAACACUUAGUAUGACCACAGGUGUGACUGUUGACAGGUCUGAUGCUUCUACAUCAGCAGGUUGGCCUGUUGAUACGCACAGUAGUACUGUUGUUUCUACUUC